AUGUGAAAAUUACAAAUCUAUAUAAUAAUUUAUCACUGACGAGGUUGUAUCGAUAAGGUAAUAUCGAUAUGUUAGUUAUCUGUGGUGAAUAAGUGACGUUAGAGGACGCGCAAUCGGCAUUACUGUCAUUGGCAUCGGAAGGUCACCGACAGUCGUCUCGUAUCGCCCUGAAAGUGGUUUCAAAGUCUAGAAGUAGAAUUGAUGGUAUUGGGAUUAAAUUGUGAUAUUUAUUUCGUUAAGAUUUGGGCUCCGUUCGGUUAUUCUUGUUCUCUUAUUACUUUACGUGUAUGUGCUCUGUGUGUGUGUGUGUGUGUGUGUGUGUGUGAGAGAUCGAAGGACUUAUGGUGCCUUCCGAUUGCUUCGAAUCGCGUAUUGAUUAUUGCUGUGCUUUUGUUCAUCUAUUUUAUUAGAGACGCUAAACUUUUCUUACAUUUGAUUCUCACAAAGGUGAUAUAACUUGUAUAAAACUGAACAAGAUUUAUUAGUAGGUUAUUUAAACACUCCUUGUUCAUUCCGCGUUAGUCUCCCGCAUCUGAUUCGGUCUUUUCCAUUAUUUAUUAUGUACUCCAGUCUUCCAUGUUGAGAGAACUUUUGUUUGCGUAUAUGCCUAAGUUCGGUUCCAUAACUUUAGCUCCUUUCAUGUAUUGUUGGAGGAAGUUUGUGACUAUGCUGUCCCAAUUCAUCACUUACGGUAUUAUCCAAGAUUUAAGAUUAUAGGUGGAGAGGGACCAAGUGAUCGGUUAAAUACUUGUGCGCUUUCAUUGUUACAACCAUCUAUAAUACAUCAAAUCCUGCGAUAACUACUUUUGUGAAGACGAUUUCAUGUUUAACUUGUCAAUAAGAAACCUGUCAAGUUUGUUGCGUUCAACCUGAAUAACUGUUCAGAUCCUCUUUAUUUAUUCUUAACACAACAUGCUUAUUAGAAAUGCAUCUCUAUGUUUAGUGGCUUUCAAUCUUUUUGUUCAUACUAGAUCCUUAGUUUCUACAGAUUUGUAGUAGGGACAUACACACAAAAAAUCAAGCGCGCGCUAGCUAAUGAUAAGAUCAUAAUAAAUUAUUAUAUCGUUAUAGUUACUGAUUAAUCUGAAACCUCCUUUCAAGUUUUUCAUUAUUACCACACACAGUAGGAUCAACUAGUGCCAUUGUCCAAAGUUGGAGAAGAGUAAGACUAUUGUCAAGACAUCAUAACAUGCUAAUAACAUGCGCCUUUCUGCAUUUUUUUAAUGAACUCGCUCAAUAUGAAUAGGCAAUUAUUGUCGAUAGCGUCUUAUCUAUAAGUUCAAUGGCUUAACUUGAUUAGAUCGUCUAAAUACCUAUUUCUAAUCCCCAUUAAGUAAUAGCUAUGUGAAUUAUAUAAAUCAUAUCUUUUCCUUCCUUUGUAUGUCAUAUUAGUGUUAAAGAGAAUCUAUCGCGUUUUGAUGUCUUGACAAGGAUGCUUUACCAUUGUCAGGGUUAUGAUAUUAAACAUCCUUAUUGGAAGGUCUUCUUGGCGCUAUUGGGCCUGUGCAGAAAAUCAUUAAUUACUGACUUAUCGAAACAAACAUGAUCAUAUAAAUUGGACCCUUCAAUCUGCGAAUAGCAUGGUACAUAGAUAAGUUUAGAAAUGCAACAGGACUUAUGCGAUUAGGUUAAUUAGAACUUGAAAAGUUAUUUUUCGAAUUUCUAUUAUAGUGAUAUGGUGUAAGAACAUGAUAUAUUAUAACUUACUUUGUAUAGCAUGAAUACCAUAUAUUUUGUAUAUCAUAAAUUAUAUUGUUAUAUAAAACUGGUGGUUAUAAGAUUAUUGUUAGAACAAUACUCAAUGAUAACCGAUGAAGAAAAAAUUUUAAUAAUAUUUAUUAAUCUUUUUCGUAAGGUAAUGUAUAAGUUAUUGUCUGGUUCUUACUUCUUGUGAAGAAUAAUAGAUAACACAUAACUGGAUUGUCAAGGACAUCAAUAAAUUCAAAGAAAUUAUUAUUAUGUUUACAAUAACCAAAAACUAUCACUAAUCUAAUUGCUCAUAUAAAAUGAAAUAUAAUAAUCCAAUAAGAUUGUCCUAUAAUUUAUCACCGCAGGAAUUAUUUUGCAGAACUUUUAGCUUCAACUAGAAAUAUUUUAAAGCAUUUCUCAGAUGUGCAUUCAAAUAUUUAAUGAAAAUUUUACGUACAAAUAUUGAUGCACUUCUUGUGUCAUUUCUAAAUAUUUUUAUUCACUUUUUAGGAGCAUAAGGAAUAAUUUAGCAGCAUUCUUAAUUACACAAGAAAAUAAUUUAGAGAACAAUACAAGUACGUCUUCAUAUAUUUAGAAGUAAUUUACCAUACAUCUAAUAAUUUACAUCUAGCAGCAUCUGUUAAUGUUUCUUCGAACUUCAGUAGGUGGUAAGGAAUAAUAUAAAAUACUUUAAAGACACUCCUUCAUUGAUUAAAACUAAAUUACCCAACACAAUAUACAGGACCUCUAGGGCAUCUGUUAAUGUUCCUUCGCGUUUCCGAAAGUGGUAAGAAUAAUAUAGAGAAGAAUAAAGCUACUUCAUUUAAUUGAAUGCAGAUUACAGAACACAUUAUAAGGAAAGUCGAACGCUAUCUCUUAGUGAUCCAUCGAACUUCGGAACGCGGAAAUGAAUGAUAUAAGGAAUAAUAAAGUGCUCAUUAAUAUAAUUAAAGGUAAGUUAGAAAACACCUUAUAAGGCAUCUGUAACUCAUCUGUUAAUGAACCUUUGUACUUAGGAAGACUGUACGACAAAUAUAGAGAAGAAUAAAGCUAGUCCUCAUUUAAUUGUAUGUACAUUACAGGACACAUUAUAAGGAAUGUCUAAGGCUUCUGUUAAUGAUCUUUUGCACUUUGGAAGUCGGUGAGGAAUAAUAUAAGGAAUUAUAAAGGGCUCCUUCUUAUAAUUAAAAUUAUACUACGUUACACCUUAUAAGGCAUCUCUGAAGGAUCUGCUAAUGAACUUUCGUACUUAGGAAAGCAGUAAGAAUAAUAUAGAGCAGAAUAAAGCUAGUCUUCAUUUAAUUGAAUGCACGUUACAGAACACAUUAUAAGGCAAGCCUAUGGCUCCUGUUAAUGAUCCUCUGCACUUAGGAACGCGGUAGGAAUAAUACAGAGAAGAAUAAAGCGACACUUCAUUUAAUUGAAUGUACAUUACGGAACACAUUAUAAAGCACGCAUAAGGCUUCUAUUAAUGAUCUUCCGAACUGUCGGAAGGCAUCAAGGAAUAAUAUAAUGAAUAAUCAGGCGCAGAUUAAUAUAAUUAAAACUAUAUUACGAAACUCAUUAUGAGGCUAGUCGAUAGCUAUCCCUUAGUCACACUAACAACUUCAGUAUACUGAAAUGAAUAAUAAGGACCUCAUUAAUAUAAUUAAAAAUACCUUAAGAAACACAUUAUAAGGCAAGUCAAACGCUAUCCCUUCGUGACCCUUUGAACUUCAGAACCUGGAAAGGAAUAAUAAGGCGCUCAUUAAUAUAAUUAAAAAUACAUUACGAAACUCACUAUAAGGCAAGUCGAGCGCCAUCUCUGAACAUUCCCAGAACUUCGUAAAGCGGAAAGGAAUAAUAUAGGGAAUAAUAAAGCUCUCCUUAUUACAAUUAAAAAUACAGUACGAAACACAUUAUAAGGCAAGUCUUACGCUAUCUCUUCUAACCCUUCGAACUUCGGAACUCCGAAAUGAAUAAUAUGAGGAACAAUAAGGUCCUCAUUAAUAUUAUUAAAAAUACUUUACGAAGCACAUUAUAAGGCAGUCGAAACAUAUCUCUUUGUUAUCCUUCGAACUUAGGAUCACGGAAAGGAAUAAUAUAAUGAAUAAUAAAGUGCUCAUUAAUAUAAUUAAAAGUACAUUAGGAAACACGUUAUAAGGCACAUCGAAGGCUUCUUGUAAUGAUGCUUCGUACUGCUAAAGGCGAUAAGGAAUAAUAUAAGGAAUUAUAAAAAUAGGAAAGGAAUACGAUAAGGUCCACGUUAAUGGAAUUAAAUGUACAUUAAGAAACAAACAAUUGGAAGAGUGUCUUGCCUUCCGUUCGAGAUAUAUCGAACUCCAGAAGGCGGAAAGGAAUACGAUAAGGUCCACGUUAAUGGAAUUAAAUGUACAUUAAGAAACAAACAAUUAGAAGAGUGUCUUGCCUUCCGUUCGAGAUAUAUCGAACUCCAGAAGGCGGAAAGGAAUACGAUAAGGUCCACGUUAAUAGAAUUAAAUAUACAUUAUGAAACAAGCAAUUAGAAGAGUGUCUUGCCUUCCUUUCAAGAUAUAUUGAACUCCAGAAGGUGGACAGGAAUACGAUAUGGCCAUCAUUAAUAGAAAUAAAUGUACAUCAAGAAACAAGCAUUUAGAAGAGUGUCUUGCAUUCCGUUCGAGAUAUAUCGAACUCCAGCAGACCGAAAGGAAUACGAUAAGGUCCACGUUAAUGGAAUUAAAUGUACAUCAAGAAACAAACAAUUGGAAGAGUGUCUUGCCUUCGGUUCGAGAUAUAUCGUACUCCAGAAGGCGGAAAGGAAUACGAUAAGGUCCACGUUAAUGGAAUUAAAUGUACAUUAAGAAACAAACAAUUGGAAGAGUGUCUUGCCUUCCCUUCGAGAUAUAUCGAACACCAGAAGGCGGAAAGGAAUACGAUAAGGUCCUCAUUAAUAGAAAUAAACGUACAUUAAGAAACAAACAAUUUGAAGAGUGUCUUGCAUUCCGUUCGAGAUAUAUCGAACUCCAGAAGGCGGAAAGGAAUACGAUAAGGUCCUCAUUAAUAGAAAUAAACGUACAUUAAGAAACAAACAAUUUGAAGAGUGUCUUGCAUUCCGUUCGAGAUAUAUCGAACUCCAGAAGGCGGAAAGGAAUACGAUAAGGUCCACGUUAAUAGAAUUGAAUGUACAUUAAGAAACAAGCAAUUAGAAGAGUGUCCUGCCUCCCGUUCGAUAUAUAUCGAACUCUAGAAGGCGGAAAGGAAUACGAUAAGGUCCACGUUCAUAGAAUUAAAUGUACAUUAAGAAACAAGCAAUUAGAAGAGUGUCCUGCCUCCCCUUCGAGAUAUAUCGAACUCUAGAAGGCGGAAAGGAAUACGAUAAAGUCCACGUUAAUAGAAUUAAAUGUACAUUAAGAAACAAGCAAUUAGAAGAGUGUCCUGCCUUCCGUUCGAGAUAUAUCGAACUCCAGAAGGCGGAAAGGAAUACUAUAAGGUCCAAGUUAAUAGAAUUAAUUGUACAUUAAGAAACAAGCAAUUAGAAGAGUGUCCUGCCUCCCGUUCGAGAUAUAUCGAACUCUAGAAGGCGGAAAGGAAUACUAUAAGGUCCACGUUAAUAGAAUUAAAUAUACAUCAAGAAACAAGCAAUUAGAAGAGUGUCCUGCCUCCCAUUCGAGAUAUAUCGAACUUUAGAAGGCGGAAAGGAAUACGAUAAGGUCCACGUUAAUAGAAUUAAAUGUACAUUAAGAAGCAAGCAAUUAGAAGAGUGUCCUGCCUCCCGUUCGAGAUAUAUCGAACUCUAGAAGGCGGAAAGGAAUACUAUAAGGUCGACGUUAAUAGAAUUAAAUGUACAUUCAGAAACAAGCAAUUAGAAGAGUGUCCUGCCUCCCGUUCGAGAUAUAUCGAACUCUACAAGGCGGAAAGGAAUACGAUAAGGUCCACGUUAAUAGAAUUAAAUGUACAUUAAGAAACAAGCAAUUAGAAGAGUGUCCUGCCUCCCGUUCGAGAUAUAUCGAACUCCAGAAGGCGGAAAGGAAUACUAUAAAGUCCACGUUAAUAGAAUUAAAUGUACAUUAAGAAACAAGCAAUUAGAAGAGUGUCCUGCCUCCCCUUCGAGAUAUAUCGAACUCUAGAAGGCGGAAAGGAAUACGAUAAAGUCCACGUUAAUAGAAUUAAAUGUACAUUAAGAAACAAGCAAUUAGAAGAGUGUCCUGCCUCCCGUUCGAGAUAUAUCGAACUCCAGAAGGCGGAAAGGAAUACUAUAAGGUCCACGUUAAUAGAAUUAAAUGUACAUCAAGAAACAAGCAAUUAGAAGAGUGUCCUGCCUCCCAUUCGAGAUAUAUCGAACUCUAGAAGUCGGAAAGGAAUACUAUAAGGUCCACUUUAAUAGAAUUAAAUGUACAUUAAGAAACAAGCAAUUAGAAGAGUGUCCUGCCUCCCGUUCGAGAUAUAUCGAACUCUAGAAAGCGGAAAGGAAUACGAUAAGGUCGACGUUAAUAGAAUUAAAUGUACAUUAAGAAACAAGCAAUUAGAAGAGUGUCCUGCCUUCCGUUCGAGAUAUAUCGAACUCUAGAAAGCGGAAUGGAAUACGAUAAGGUCCACGUUAAUAGAAUUAAAUGUACAUUAAGAAACAAGCAAUUAGAAGAGUGUCCUGCCUCCCGUUCGAGAUAUAUCGAACUCCAGAAGGCGGAAAGGAAUACUAUAAGGUCCACGUUAAUAGAAUUAAAUGUACAUCAAGAAACAAGCAAUUAGAAGAGUGUCCUGCCUCCCAUUCGAGAUAUAUCGAACUCUAGAAGGCGGAAAGGAAUACUAUAAGGUCCACGUUAAUAGAAUUAAAUGUACAUUCAGAAAAAAGCAAUUAGAAGAGUGUCCUGCCUCCCGUUGGAGAUAUAUCGAACUCCAGAAGGCGGAGAGGAAUACUAUAAAGUCCACGUUAAUAGAAUUAAAUGUACAUUAAGAAACAAGCAAUUAGAAGAGUGUCCUGCCUCCCGUUCGAGAUAUAUCGAACUCCAGAAGGCGGAAGGGAAUACUAUAAGGUCGACGUUAUUAGAAUUAAAUGUACAUUAAGAAACAAGCAAUUAGAAGAGUGUCCUGCCUCCCGUUCGAUAUAUAUCGAACUCCGGAAGGCGGAAAGGAAUACGAUAAGGUCCACGUUAAUAGAAUUAAAUGUACAUUAAGAAACAAGCAAUUAGAAGAGUGUCCUGCCUCCCGUUCGAGAUAUAUCGAACUCCAGAAGGCGGAAAGGAAUACUAUAAGGUCCACGUUAAUAGAAUUAAAUGUACAUUAAGAAACAAGCAAUUAGAAGAGUGUCCUGCCUCCCGUUCGAUAUAUAUCGAACUCCGGAAGGCGGAAAGGAAUACGAUAAGGUCCACGUUAAUAGAAUUAAAUGUACAUUAAGAAACAAGCAAUUAGAAGAGUGUCCUGCCUCCCGUUCGAGAUAUAUCGAACUCCAGAAGGCGGAAAGGAAUACUAUAAGGUCCACGUUAAUAGAAUUAAAUGUACAUUAAGAAACAAGCAAUUAGAAGAGUGUCCUGCCUCCCGUUCGAGAUAUAUCGAACUCCAGAAGGCGGAAAGGAAUACUAUACGUUCCACGUUAAUAGAAUUAAAUGUACAUUAAGAAACAAGCAAUUAGAAGAGUGUCCUGCCUCCCGUUCGAGAUAUAUCGAACUCUAGAAGGCGGAAAGGAAUACUAUAAGGUCCACGUUAAUAGAAUUAAAUGUACAUUAAGAAACAAGCAAUUAGAAGAGUGUCCUGCCUCCCGUUCGAGAUAUAUCGAACUCCAGAAGGCGGAAAGGAAUACUAUACGGUCCACGUUAAUAGAAUUAAAUGUACAUUAAGAAACAAGCAAUUAGAAGAGUGUCCUGCCUCCCGUUCGAUAUAUAUCGAACUCCGGAAGGCGGAAAGGAAUACGAUAAGGUCCACGUUAAUAGAAUUAAAUGUACAUUAAGAAACAAGCAAUUAGAAGAGUGUCCUGCCUCCCGUUCGAGAUAUAUCGAACUCCAGAAGGCGGAAAGGAAUACUAUAAGGUCCACGUUAAUAGAAUUAAAUGUACAUCAAGAAACAAGCAAUUAGAAGAGUGUCCUGCCUCCCAUUCGAGAUAUAUCGAACUCUAGAAGGCAGAAACGAAUACUAUAAGGUCCACGUUAAUAGAAUUAAAUGUACAUUAAGAAACAAGCAAUUAGAAGAGUGUCCUGCCUCCUGUUCGAGAUAUAUCGAACUCCAGAAGGCGGAAAGGAAUACUAUAAGGUCCACGUUAAUAGAAUUAAAUGUACAUUAAGAAACAAGCAAUUAGAAGAGUGUCCUGCCUCCCGUUCGAGAUAUAUCGAACUCCAGAAGGCGGAAAGGAAUACUAUAAGGUCCACGUUAAUAGAAUUAAAUGUACAUUAAGAAACAAGCAAUUAGAAGAGUGUCCUCCCUCCCGUUCGAGAUAUAUCGAACUCCAGAAGGCGGAAGGGAAUACUAUAAGGUCGACGUUAAUAGAAUUAAAUGUAAAUUAAGAAACAAGCAAUUAGAAGAGUGUCCUGCCUCCCGUUCGAUAUAUAUCGAACUCCGGAAGGCGGAAAGGAAUACGAUAAGGUCCACGUUAAUAGAAUUAAAUGUACAUUAAGAAACAAGCAAUUAGAAGAGUGUCCUGCCUCCCGUUCGAGAUAUAUCGAACUCCAGAAGGCGGAAAGGAAUACUAUAAGGUCCACGUUAAUAGAAUUAAAUGUACAUUAAGAAACAAGCAAUUAGAAGAGUGUCCUGCCUCCCGUUCGAUAUAUAUCGAACUCCGGAAGGCGGAAAGGAAUACGAUAAGGUCCACGUUAAUAGAAUUAAAUGUACAUUAAGAAACAAGCAAUUAGGAGAGUGUCCUGCCUUCCGUUCGAGAUAUAUCGAACUCUAGAAGGCGGAAAGGAACACGAUAAGGUCCACGUUAAUAGAAUUAAAUGUACAUUAAGAAACAAGCAAUUAGAAGAGUGUCCUGCCUCCCGUUCGAGAUAUAUCGAACUCCAGAAGGCGGAAAGGAAUACUAUAAGGUCCACGUUAAUAGAAUUAAAUGUACAUCAAGAAACAAUCAAUUAGAAGAGUGUCCUGCCUCCCGUUCGAGAUAUAUCGAACUCCAGAAGGCGGAAAGGAAUACUAUAAGGUCCACGUUAAUAGAAUUAAAUGUACAUUAAGAAACAAGCAAUUAGAAGAGUGUCCUGCCUCCCGUUCGAGAUAUAUCGAACUCCAGAAGGCGGAAGGGAAUACUAUAAGGUCGACGUUAAUAGAAUUAAAUGUACAUUAAGAAACAAGCAAUUAGAAGAGUGUCCUGCCUCCCGUUCGAGAUAUAUCGAACUCCAGAAGGCGGAAAGGAAUACGUUAAGGUCCACGUUAAUAGAAUUAAAUGUACAUUAAGAAACAACCAAUUAGAAGAGUGUCCUGCCUCCCGUUCGAGAUAUAUCGAACUCUACAAAGCGGAAAGGAAUACUAUCAGGUCCACGUUAAUAGAAUUAAAUGUACAUUAAGAAACAAGCAAUUAGAAGAGUGUCCUGCCUCCCGUUCGAGAUAUAUCGAACUCUAGAAAGCGGAAAGGAAUACGAUAAGGUCCACGUUAAUAGAAUUAAAUGUACAUUAAGAAACAAGCAAUUAGAAGAGUGUCCUGCCUCCCGUUCGAGAUAUAUCGAACUCCAGAAGGCGGAAAGGAAUACUAUAAGGUCCACGUUAAUAGAAUUAAAUGUACAUUAAGAAACAAGCAAUUAGAAGAGUGUCCUGCCUCCCGUUCGAGAUAUAUCGAACUCCAGAAGGCGGAAAGGAAUACUAUACGUUCCACGUUAAUAGAAUUAAAUGUACAUUAAGAAACAAGCAAUUAGAAGAGUGUCCUGCCUCCCGUUCGAGAUAUAUCGAACUCUAGAAGGCGGAAAGGAAUACUAUAAGGUCCACGUUAAUAGAAUUAAAUGUACAUUAAGAAACAAGCAAUUAGAAGAGUGUCCUGCCUCCCGUUCGAGAUAUAUCGAACUCCAGAAGGCGGAAAGGAAUACUAUACGGUCCACGUUAAUAGAAUUAAAUGUACAUUAAGAAACAAGCAAUUAGAAGAGUGUCCUGCCUCCCGUUCGAUAUAUAUCGAACUCCGGAAGGCGGAAAGGAAUACGAUAAGGUCCACGUUAAUAGAAUUAAAUGUACAUUAAGAAACAAGCAAUUAGAAGAGUGUCCUGCCUCCCGUUCGAGAUAUAUCGAACUCCAGAAGGCGGAAAGGAAUACUAUAAGGUCCACGUUAAUAGAAUUAAAUGUACAUCAAGAAACAAGCAAUUAGAAGAGUGUCCUGCCUCCCAUUCGAGAUAUAUCGAACUCUAGAAGGCAGAAACGAAUACUAUAAGGUCCACGUUAAUAGAAUUAAAUGUACAUUAAGAAACAAGCAAUUAGAAGAGUGUCCUGCCUCCUGUUCGAGAUAUAUCGAACUCCAGAAGGCGGAAAGGAAUACUAUAAGGUCCACGUUAAUAGAAUUAAAUGUACAUUAAGAAACAAGCAAUUAGAAGAGUGUCCUGCCUCCCGUUCGAGAUAUAUCGAACUCCAGAAGGCGGAAAGGAAUACUAUAAGGUCCACGUUAAUAGAAUUAAAUGUACAUUAAGAAACAAGCAAUUAGAAGAGUGUCCUCCCUCCCGUUCGAGAUAUAUCGAACUCCAGAAGGCGGAAGGGAAUACUAUAAGGUCGACGUUAAUAGAAUUAAAUGUAAAUUAAGAAACAAGCAAUUAGAAGAGUGUCCUGCCUCCCGUUCGAUAUAUAUCGAACUCCGGAAGGCGGAAAGGAAUACGAUAAGGUCCACGUUAAUAGAAUUAAAUGUACAUUAAGAAACAAGCAAUUAGAAGAGUGUCCUGCCUCCCGUUCGAGAUAUAUCGAACUCCAGAAGGCGGAAAGGAAUACUAUAAGGUCCACGUUAAUAGAAUUAAAUGUACAUUAAGAAACAAGCAAUUAGAAGAGUGUCCUGCCUCCCGUUCGAUAUAUAUCGAACUCCGGAAGGCGGAAAGGAAUACGAUAAGGUCCACGUUAAUAGAAUUAAAUGUACAUUAAGAAACAAGCAAUUAGAAGAGUGUCCUGCCUCCCGUUCGAGAUAUAUCGAACUCCAGAAGGCGGAAAGGAAUACUAUAAGGUCCACGUUAAUAGAAUUAAAUGUACAUCAAGAAACAAGCAAUUAGAAGAGUGUCCUGCCUCCCAUUCGAGAUAUAUCGAACUCUAGAAGGCGGAAAGGAAUACUAUAAGGUCCACGUUAAUAGAAUUAAAUGUACAUCAAGAAACAAGCAAUUAGAAGAGUGUCCUGCCUCCCAUUCGAGAUAUAUCGAACUCUAGAAGGCGGAAAGGAAUACUAUAAGGUCCACGUUAAUAGAAUUAAAUGUACAUUAAGAAACAAGCAAUUAGAAGAGUCUCCUGCCUCCCGUUCGAGAUAUAUCGAACUCCAGAAGGCGGAAAGGAAUACUAUAAGGUCCACGUUAAUAGAAUUAAAUGUACAUCAAGAAACAAGCAAUUAGAAGAGUGUCCUGCCUCCCAUUCGAGAUAUAUCGAACUCUAGAAGGCGGAAAGGAAUACUAUAAGGUCCACGUUAAUAGAAUUAAAUGUACAUUAAGAAACAAGCAAUUAGAAGAGUGUCCUGCCUCCCGUUCGAGAUAUAUCGAACUCUAGAAUGCGGAAAGGAAUACUAUAAGGUCCACGUUAAUAGAAUUAAAUGUACAUUAAGAAACAAGCAAUUAGAAGAUUGUCCUGCCUCCCGUUCGAGAUAUAUCGAACUCCAGAAGGCGGAAAGGAAUACGAUAAGGUCCACGUUAAUAGAAUUAAAUGUACAUUAAGAAACAAGCAAUUAGAAGAGUGUCCUGCCUCCCGUUCGAGAUAUAUCGAACUCUACAAAGCGGAAAGGAAUACUAUCAGGUCCACGUUAAUAGAAUUAAAUGUACAUUAAGAAACAAGCAAUUAGAAGAGUGUCCUGCCUCCCGUUCGAGAUAUAUCGAACUCUAGAAGGCGGAAAGGAAUACUAUAAGGUCCACGUUAAUAGAAUUAAAUGUACAUUAAGAAACAAGCUAUUAGAAGAGUGUCCUGCCUCCCGUUCGAGAUAUAUCGAACUCUAGAAAGCGGAAAGGAAUACUAUAAGGUCCACGUUAAUAGAAUUAAAUGUACAUUAAGAAACAAGCAAUUAGAAGAGUGUCCUGCCUCCCGUUCGAGAUAUAUCGAACUCUCGAAGGCGGAAAGGAAUACUAUAAGGUCCACGUUAAUAGAAUUAAAUGUACAUUGAGAAACAAGCAAUUAGAAGAGUGUCCUGCCUCCCGUUCGAGAUAUAUCGAACUCUAGACAGCGGAAAGGAAUACUAUAAGGUCCACGUUAAUAGAAUUAAAUGUACAUUAAGAAACAAGCAAUUAGAAGAGUGUCCUGCCUCCCGUUCGAGAUAUAUCGAACUCUAGAAGGCGGAAAGGAAUACUAUAAGGUCCACGUUAAUAGAAUUAAAUGUACAUUAAGAAACAAGCAAUUAGAAGAGUGUCCUGCCUCCCGUUCGAGAUAUAUCGAACUCUACAAAGCGGAAAGGAAUACUAUCAGGUCCACGUUAAUAGAAUUAAAUGUACAUUAAGAAACAAGCAAUUAGAAGAGUGUCCUGCCUCCCGUUCGAGAUAUAUCGAACUCUAGACAGCGGAAAGGAAUACUAUAAGGUCCACGUUAAUAGAAUUAAAUGUACAUUCAGAAACAAGCAAUUAGAAGAGUGUCCUGCCUCCCGUUCGAGAUAUAUCGAACUCUACAAAGCGGAAAGGAAUACUAUCAGGUCCACGUUAAUGGAAUUAAAUGUACAUUAAGAAACAAGCAAUUAGAAGAUUGUCCUGCCUCCCGUUCGAGAUAUAUCGAACUCCAGAAGGCGGAAAGGAACACGAUAAGGUCCACGUUAAUAGAAUUAAAUGUACAUUAAGAAACAAGCAAUUAGAAGAGUGUCCUGCCUCCCGUUCGAGAUAUAUCGAACUCCAGAAGGCGGAAAGGAAUACGAUAAGGUCCACGUUAAUAGAAUUAAAUGUACAUUAAGAAACAAGCAAUUAGAAGAGUGUCCUGCCUCCCGUCCGAGAUAUAUCGAACUCUAGAAAGCGGAAAGGAAUACGAUAAGGUCCACGUUAAUAGAAUUAAAUGUACAUUAAGAAACAAGCAAUUAGAAGAAUGUCCUGCCUCCCGUUCGAGAUAUAUCGAACUCUAGAAAGCGGAAAGGAAUACUAUAAGGUCCACGUUAAUAGAAUUAAAUGUACAUUAAGAAACAAGCAAUUAGAAGAGUGUCCUGCCUCCCGUUCGAGAUAUAUCGAACUCUAGAAGGCGGAAAGGAACACGAUAAGGUCCACGUUAAUAGAAUUAAAUGUACAUUAAGAAACAAGCAAUUAGAAGAUUGUCCUGCCUCCCGUUCGAGAUAUAUCGAACUCCAGAAGGCGGAAAGGAAUACGAUAAGGUCCACGUUAAUAGAAUUAAAUGUACAUUAAGAAACAAGCAAUUAGAAGAGUGUCCUGCCUCCCGUUCGAGAUAUAUCGAACUCUACAAAGCGGAAAGGAAUACUAUCAGGUCCACGUUAAUAGAAUUAAAUGUACAUUAAGAAACAAGCAAUUAGAAGAGUGUCCUGCCUCCCGUUCGAGAUAUAUCGAACUCUAGAAGGCGGAAAGGAAUACUAUAAGGUCCACGUUAAUAGAAUUAAAUGUACAUUAAGAAACAAGCUAUUAGAAGAGUGUCCUGCCUCCCGUUCGAGAUAUAUCGAACUCUAGAAGGCGGAAAGGAAUACUAUAAGGUCCACGUUAAUAGAAUUAAAUGUACAUUAAGAAACAAGCAAUUAGAAGAGUGUCCUGCCUCCCGUUCGAGAUAUAUCGAACUCUACAAAGCGGAAAGGAAUACUAUCAGGUCCACGUUAAUAGAAUUAAAUGUACAUUAAGAAACAAGCAAUUAGAAGAGUGUCCUGCCUCCCGUUCGAGAUAUAUCGAACUCCAGAAGGCGGAAAGGAAUACGAUAAGGUCCACGUUAAUAGAAUUAAAUGUACAUUAAGAAACAAGCAAUUAGAAGAGUGUCCUGCCUCCCGUUCGAGAUAUAUCGAACUCUCGAAGGCGGAAAGGAACACGAUAAGGUCCACGUUAAUAGAAUUAAAUGUACAUUAAGAAACAAGCAAUUAGAAGAGUGUCCUGCCUCCCGUUCGAGAUAUAUCGAACUCUAGAAAGCGGAAAGGAAUACGAUAAGGUCGACGUUAAUAGAAUUAAAUGUACAUUAAGAAACAAGCAAUUAGAAGAGUGUCCUGCCUUCCGUUCGAGAUAUAUCGAACUCUAGAAGGCGGAAAGGAACACGAUAAGGUCCACGUUAAUAGAAUUAAAUGUACAUUAAGAAACAAGCAAUUAGAAGAGUGUCCUGCCUCCCGUUCGAGAUAUAUCGAACUCUAGAAAGCGGAAAGGAAUACUAUAAGGUCCACGUUAAUAGAAUUAAAUGUACAUUAAGAAACAAGCAAUUAGAAGAGUGUCCUGCCUCCCGUUCGAGAUAUAUCGAACUCUCGAAGGCGGAAAGGAAUACUAUAAGGUCCACGUUAAUAGAAUUAAAUGUACAUUAAGAAACAAGCAAUUAGAAGAGUGUCCUGCCUUCCGUUCGAGAUAUAUCGAACUCUAGAAGGCGGAAAGGAACACGAUAAGGUCCACGUUAAUAGAAUUAAAUGUACAUCAAGAAACAAGCAAUUAGAAGAGUGUCCUGCCUCCCAUUCGAGAUAUAUCGAACUCUAGAAAGCGGAAAGGAAUACUAUAAGGUCCACGUUAAUAGAAUUAAAUGUACAUUAAGAAACAAGCAAUUAGAAGAGUGUCCUGCCUCCCGUUCGAGAUAUAUCGAACUCUAGAAAGCGGAAAGGAAUACUAUAAGGUCCACGUUAAUAGAAUUAAAUGUACAUUAAGAAACAAGCAAUUAGAAGAGUGUCCUGCCUCCCGUUCGAGAUAUAUCGAACUCUCGAAGGCGGAAAGGAAUACUAUAAGGUCCACGUUAAUAGAAUUAAAUGUACAUUAAGAAACAAGCAAUUAGAAGAGUGUCCUGCCUUCCGUUCGAUAUAUAUCGAACUCUAGAAGGCGGAAAGGAACACGAUAAGGUCCACGUUAAUAGAAUUAAAUGUACAUCAAGAAACAAGCAAUUAGAAGAGUGUCCUGCCUCCCAUUCGAGAUAUAUCGAACUCUAGAAAGCGGAAAGGAAUACUAUAAGGUCCACGUUAAUAGAAUUAAAUGUACAUUAAGAAACAAGCAAUUAGAAGAGUGUCCUGCCUCCCGUUCGAGAUAUAUCGAACUCUAGAAAGCGGAAAGGAAUACGAUAAGGUCGACGUUAAUAGAAUUAAAUGUACAUUAAGAAACAAGCAAUUAGAAGAGUGUCCUGCCUUCCGUUCGAGAUAUAUCGAACUCUAGAAGGCGGAAAGGAACACGAUAAGGUCCACGUUAAUAGAAUUAAAUGUACAUUAAGAAACAAGCAAUUAGAAGAGUGUCCUGCCUCCCGUUCGAGAUAUAUCGAACUCUAGAAAGCGGAAAGGAAUACUAUAAGGUCCACGUUAAUAGAAUUAAAUGUACAUUAAGAAACAAGCAAUUAGAAGAGUGUCCUGCCUCCCGUUCGAGAUAUAUCGAACUCUCGAAGGCGGAAAGGAAUACUAUAAGGUCCACGUUAAUAGAAUUAAAUGUACAUUAAGAAACAAGCAAUUAGAAGAGUGUCCUGCCUUCCGUUCGAUAUAUAUCGAACUCUAGAAGGCGGAAAGGAACACGAUAAGGUCCACGUUAAUAGAAUUAAAUGUACAUCAAGAAACAAGCAAUUAGAAGAGUGUCCUGCCUCCCAUUCGAGAUAUAUCGAACUCUAGAAAGCGGAAAGGAAUACUAUAAGGUCCACGUUAAUAGAAUUAAAUGUACAUUAAGAAACAAGCAAUUAGAAGAGUGUCCUGCCUCCCGUUCGAGAUAUAUCGAACUCUAGAAAGCGGAAAGGAAUACGAUAAGGUCCACGUUAAUAGAAUUAAAUGUACAUUAAGAAACAAGCAAUUAGAAGAGUGUCCUGCCUUCCGUUCGAGAUAUAUCGAACUCUAGAAGGCGGAAAGGAACACGAUAAGGUCCACGUUAAUAGAAUUAAAUGUACAUUAAGAAACAAGCAAUUAGAAGAGUGUCCUGCCUCCCGUUCGAGAUAUAUCGAACUCUAGAAAGCGGAAAGGAAUACUAUAAGGUCCACGUUAAUAGAAUUAAAUGUACAUUAAGAAACAAGCAAUUAGAAGAGUGUCCUGCCUCCCGUUCGAGAUAUAUCGAACUCUCGAAGGCGGAAAGGAAUACUAUAAGGUCCACGUUAAUAGAAUUAAAUGUACAUUGAGAAACAAGCAAUUAGAAGAGUGUCCUGCCUCCCGUUCGAGAUAUAUCGAACUCUAGACAGCGGAAAGGAAUACUAUAAGGUCCACGUUAAUAGAAUUAAAUGUACAUUAAGAAACAAGCAAUUAGAAGAGUGUCCUGCCUCCCGUUCGAGAUAUAUCGAACUCUAGAAGGCGGAAAGGAAUACUAUAAGGUCCACGUUAAUAGAAUUAAAUGUACAUUAAGAAACAAGCAAUUAGAAGAGUGUCCUGCCUCCCGUUCGAGAUAUAUCGAACUCUACAAAGCGGAAAGGAAUACUAUCAGGUCCACGUUAAUAGAAUUAAAUGUACAUUAAGAAACAAGCAAUUAGAAGAGUGUCCUGCCUCCCGUUCGAGAUAUAUCGAACUCCAGAAGGCGGAAAGGAAUACGAUAAGGUCCACGUUAAUAGAAUUAAAUGUACAUUAAGAAACAAGCAAUUAGAAGAGUGUCCUGCCUCCCGUUCGAGAUAUAUCGAACUCUAGACAGCGGAAAGGAAUACUAUAAGGUCCACGUUAAUAGAAUUAAAUGUACAUUAAGAAACAAGCAAUUAGAAGAGUGUCCUGCCUCCCGUUCGAGAUAUAUCGAACUCUAGAAAGCGGAAAGGAAUACUAUAAGGUCCACGUUAAUAGAAUUAAAUGUACAUUAAGAAACAAGCAAUUAGAAGAGUGUCCUGCCUCCCGUUCGAGAUAUAUCGAACUCUCGAAGGCGGAAAGGAAUACUAUAAGGUCCACGUUAAUAGAAUUAAAUGUACAUUAAGAAACAAGCAAUUAGAAGAGUGUCCUGCCUUCCGUUCGAUAUAUAUCGAACUCUAGAAGGCGGAAAGGAACACGAUAAGGUCCACGUUAAUAGAAUUAAAUGUACAUCAAGAAACAAGCAAUUAGAAGAGUGUCCUGCCUCCCAUUCGAGAUAUAUCGAACUCUAGAAAGCGGAAAGGAAUACUAUAAGGUCCACGUUAAUAGAAUUAAAUGUACAUUAAGAAACAAGCAAUUAGAAGAGUGUCCUGCCUCCCGUUCGAGAUAUAUCGAACUCUAGAAAGCGGAAAGGAAUACGAUAAGGUCCACGUUAAUAGAAUUAAAUGUACAUUAAGAAACAAGCAAUUAGAAGAGUGUCCUGCCUUCCGUUCGAGAUAUAUCGAACUCUAGAAGGCGGAAAGGAACACGAUAAGGUCCACGUUAAUAGAAUUAAAUGUACAUUAAGAAACAAGCAAUUAGAAGAGUGUCCUGCCUCCCGUUCGAGAUAUAUCGAACUCUAGAAAGCGGAAAGGAAUACUAUAAGGUCCACGUUAAUAGAAUUAAAUGUACAUUAAGAAACAAGCAAUUAGAAGAGUGUCCUGCCUCCCGUUCGAGAUAUAUCGAACUCUCGAAGGCGGAAAGGAAUACUAUAAGGUCCACGUUAAUAGAAUUAAAUGUACAUUAAGAAACAAGCAAUUAGAAGAGUGUCCUGCCUUCCGUUCGAUAUAUAUCGAACUCUAGAAGGCGGAAAGGAACACGAUAAGGUCCACGUUAAUAGAAUUAAAUGUACAUCAAGAAACAAGCAAUUAGAAGAGUGUCCUGCCUCCCAUUCGAGAUAUAUCGAACUCUAGAAAGCGGAAAGGAAUACUAUAAGGUCCACGUUAAUAGAAUUAAAUGUACAUUAAGAAACAAGCAAUUAGAAGAGUGUCCUGCCUCCCGUUCGAGAUAUAUCGAACUCUAGAAAGCGGAAAGGAAUACGAUAAGGUCCACGUUAAUAGAAUUAAAUGUACAUUAAGAAACAAGCAAUUAGAAGAGUGUCCUGCCUUCCGUUCGAGAUAUAUCGAACUCUAGAAGGCGGAAAGGAACACGAUAAGGUCCACGUUAAUAGAAUUAAAUGUACAUUAAGAAACAAGCAAUUAGAAGAGUGUCCUGCCUCCCGUUCGAGAUAUAUCGAACUCUAGAAAGCGGAAAGGAAUACUAUAAGGUCCACGUUAAUAGAAUUAAAUGUACAUUAAGAAACAAGCAAUUAGAAGAGUGUCCUGCCUCCCGUUCGAGAUAUAUCGAACUCUCGAAGGCGGAAAGGAAUACUAUAAGGUCCACGUUAAUAGAAUUAAAUGUACAUUGAGAAACAAGCAAUUAGAAGAGUGUCCUGCCUCCCGUUCGAGAUAUAUCGAACUCUAGACAGCGGAAAGGAAUACUAUAAGGUCCACGUUAAUAGAAUUAAAUGUACAUUAAGAAACAAGCAAUUAGAAGAGUGUCCUGCCUCCCGUUCGAGAUAUAUCGAACUCUAGAAGGCGGAAAGGAAUACUAUAAGGUCCACGUUAAUAGAAUUAAAUGUACAUUAAGAAACAAGCAAUUAGAAGAGUGUCCUGCCUCCCGUUCGAGAUAUAUCGAACUCUACAAAGCGGAAAGGAAUACUAUCAGGUCCACGUUAAUAGAAUUAAAUGUACAUUAAGAAACAAGCAAUUAGAAGAGUGUCCUGCCUCCCGUUCGAGAUAUAUCGAACUCCAGAAGGCGGAAAGGAAUACGAUAAGGUCCACGUUAAUAGAAUUAAAUGUACAUUAAGAAACAAGCAAUUAGAAGAGUGUCCUGCCUCCCGUUCGAGAUAUAUCGAACUCUACAAAGCGGAAAGGAAUACUAUCAGGUCCACGUUAAUGGAAUUAAAUGUACAUUAAGAAACAAGCAAUUAGAAGAUUGUCCUGCCUCCCGUUCGAGAUAUAUCGAACUCCAGAAGGCGGAAAGGAACACGAUAAGGUCCACGUUAAUAGAAUUAAAUGUACAUUAAGAAACAAGCAAUUAGAAGAGUGUCCUGCCUCCCGUUCGAGAUAUAUCGAACUCCAGAAGGCGGAAAGGAAUACGAUAAGGUCCACGUUAAUAGAAUUAAAUGUACAUUAAGAAACAAGCAAUUAGAAGAGUGUCCUGCCUCCCGUCCGAGAUAUAUCGAACUCUAGAAAGCGGAAAGGAAUACGAUAAGGUCCACGUUAAUAGAAUUAAAUGUACAUUAAGAAACAAGCAAUUAGAAGAGUGUCCUGCCUCCCGUUCGAGAUAUAUCGAACUCUAGAAAGCGGAAAGGAAUACUAUAAGGUCCACGUUAAUAGAAUUAAAUGUACAUUAAGAAACAAGCAAUUAGAAGAGUGUCCUGCCUUCCGUUCGAGAUAUAUCGAACUCUAGAAGGCGGAAAGGAACACGAUAAGGUCCACGUUAAUAGAAUUAAAUGUACAUUAAGAAACAAGCAAUUAGAAGAGUGUCCUGCCUCCCGUUCGAGAUAUAUCGAACUCCAGAAGGCGGAAAGGAAUACGAUAAGGUCCACGUUAAUAGAAUUAAAUGUACAUUAAGAAACAAGCAAUUAGAAGAGUGUCCUGCCUCCCGUCCGAGAUAUAUCGAACUCUAGAAAGCGGAAAGGAAUACGAUAAGGUCCACGUUAAUAGAAUUAAAUGUACAUUAAGAAACAAGCAAUUAGAAGAGUGUCCUGCCUCCCGUUCGAGAUAUAUCGAACUCUAGAAAGCGGAAAGGAAUACUAUAAGGUCCACGUUAAUAGAAUUAAAUGUACAUUAAGAAACAAGCAAUUAGAAGAGUGUCCUGCCUCCCGUUCGAGAUAUAUCGAACUCUAGAAGGCGGAAAGGAACACGAUAAGGUCCACGUUAAUAGAAUUAAAUGUACAUUAAGAAACAAGCAAUUAGAAGAUUGUCCUGCCUCCCGUUCGAGAUAUAUCGAACUCCAGAAGGCGGAAAGGAAUACGAUAAGGUCCACGUUAAUAGAAUUAAAUGUACAUUAAGAAACAAGCAAUUAGAAGAGUGUCCUGCCUCCCGUUCGAGAUAUAUCGAACUCUACAAAGCGGAAAGGAAUACUAUCAGGUCCACGUUAAUAGAAUUAAAUGUACAUUAAGAAACAAGCAAUUAGAAGAGUGUCCUGCCUCCCGUUCGAGAUAUAUCGAACUCUAGAAGGCGGAAAGGAAUACUAUAAGGUCCACGUUAAUAGAAUUAAAUGUACAUUAAGAAACAAGCAAUUAGAAGAGUGUCCUGCCUCCCGUUCGAGAUAUAUCGAACUCCAGAAGGCGGAAAGGAAUACGAUAAGGUCCACGUUAAUAGAAUUAAAUGUACAUUAAGAAACAAGCAAUUAGAAGAUUGUCCUGCCUCCCGUUCGAGAUAUAUCGAACUCCAGAAGGCGGAAAGGAACACGAUAAGGUCCACGUUAAUAGAAUUAAAUGUACAUUAAGAAACAAGCAAUUAGAAGAGUGUCCUGCCUCCCGUUCGAGAUAUAUCGAACUCUAGAAAGCGGAAAGGAAUACUAUAAGGUCCACGUUAAUAGAAUUAAAUGUACAUU